UUUUGACCUCGAAUCAGGUAGGGAUACCCGC
rnacentral:rRNA from 1 species